rnacentral:rRNA from 1 species
AUUGAACGCUGGCGGCAGGCUUAACACAUGCAAGUCGAGCGGGGGAAGGUAGCUUGCUACCGGACCUAGCGGCGGACGGGUGAGUAAUGCUUAGGAAUCUGCCUAUUAGUGGGGGACAACAUCUCGAAAGGGAUGCUAAUACCGCAUACGUCCUACGGGAGAAAGCAGGGGAUCUUCGGACCUUGCGCUAAUAGAUGAGCCUAAGUCGGAUUAGCUAGUUGGUGGGGUAAAGGCCUACCAAGGCGACGAUCUGUAGCGGGUCUGAGAGGAUGAUCCGCCACACUGGGACUGAGACACGGCCCAGACUCCUGCGGGAGGCAGCAGUGGGGAACAUUGGACAAUGGGGGGAACCCUGAUCCAGCCAUGCCGCGUGUGUGAAGAAGGCCUUAUGGUUGUAAAGCACUUUAAGCGAGGAGGAGGCUACUUUAGUUAAUACCUAGAGAUAGUGGACGUUACUCGCAGAAUAAGCACCGGCUAACUCUGUGCCAGCAGCCGCCGUAA